rnacentral:rRNA from 1 species
AAUAGAUACCCAGGUAGUCCACGCCGUAAACGAUGAGUGCUAAGUGUUAGGGGGUUUCCGCCCCUUAGUGCUGCAGCUAACGCAUUAAGCACUCCGCCUGGGGAGUACGGUCGCAAGACUGAAACUCAAAGGAAUUGACGGGGGCCCGCACAAGCGGUGGAGCAUGUGGUUUAAUUCGAAGCAACGCGAAGAACCUUACCAGGUCUCGACAUCCCAUUGACCACUAUGGAGACAUAGUUUUCCCUUCGGGGACAACGGUGACAGGUGGUGCAUGGUUGUCGUCAGCUCGUGUCGUGAGAUGUUGGGUUAAGUCCCGCAACGAGCGCAACCCUUGUUCUUAGUUGCCAUCAUUUAGUUGGGCACUCUAAGGAGACUGCCGGUGACAAACCGGAGGAAGGUGUGGAUGACGUCAAAUCAUCAUGCCCCUUAUGACCUGGGCUACACACGUGCUACAAUGGACGGUACAAACGGUUGCCAACCCGCGAGGGGGAGCUAAUCCGAUAAAACCGUUCUCAGUUCGGAUUGUAGGCUGCAACUCGCCUACA